UACGGAGGAUCCAAGCGUUAUCCGGAUUUAUUGGGCUUAAAGGGUGCGUAGGCGGCUUAUUAAGUCAGCGGUGAAAGACGGUGGCUCAACCAUCGCAGUGCCCUUGAUACUGAUGAGCUUGAAUACACUUGAGGUAGGCGGAAUGUGACAAGUAGCGGUGAAAUGCAUAGAUAUGUCACAGAACACCAAUUGCGAAGGCAGCUUACUAAGGUGCAAUUGACGCUGAGGCACGAAAGCGUGGGGAUCAAACAGG
rnacentral:rRNA from 1 species